rnacentral:misc_RNA from 1 species
GAGAGAGAGAGAGAGAGGGGGAAGAAACAGAAAUGGAGUUUAGUCUCAGCGGAAACGCGCUCAAGACCUUCGCUCGGUCAAUCACUUGCCUCGCGCGUGUAGGAAACGAGCUUGCCAUCCAAGCCUCUCCUUCUCAGCUCAUACUUCACACCAUUAAUUCAUCACGAUCUGCCUAUCAAUCUAUUACAUUCAAGUCCGGCUUCUUUGAUAUGUAUACAAUUUCUGGUACACAAGUCCAAUGCAGCUUACUCUUGAAGGCCAUUUGUUCUGUUCUUAGGACACCUAUUUCAUCAAUUAAUCAUCUGAGCGUACAGUUGCCUGGUCCUGAUUCAUCAAAAGUGCAAUGGACUUUAGAGUGCUACAGUGGGAUGAAAAAAUCCUACUGGAUUACUUGCAAUGUUGAGUCCGACAUACAACAUUUAUCUCUUGAUAGAAGAAGAUUCCCAAGCAGCUUAGUUGUGAGGCCUCGAGAUCUCAACAGACUGCUAGCCAAUUUCCAAUCAUCACUCCAGGAGAUUACUGUCAUUGCAACAGAACCUGCUUCCAUGCCUACUGAUGCUGCAAGUGAAAUAGGUGGAAAAGCUGUUGAACUUAGAAGUUAUAUAGACCCGACAAAAGAUAAUGACUCUGCACUACAUACUCAGUUGUGGAUAGAUCCUGUGGAAGAAUUUGUUCAGUAUACCCACACAGGAGACCCUGUGGAUGUGACAUUUGGUGUGAAGGAAUUGAAGGCAUUCCUAGCUUUCUGUGAGGGCUGUGAAGUGGACAUUCAUUUAUAUUUUGAAAAAGCUGGAGAGCCAAUUUUAAUGGCACCAAAAUUUGGUUUAGAUGAUGGAUCCAGUUCAAAUUUUGAUGCUACACUUGUACUUGCUACAAUGCUCAUAUCACAGCUCCAUGAAGGAAAUUCCUCAGAACCUCCACAAGUGGCUACCACAACCCAUGUUCAGGCUGUGUGUGGCACUGGGUCGCAGCCACAGGCAAGGGGUAGAGCAAAUGUGUCUGAGCAUCCUUCUGAUCACACCAGAAUUUGGUCUGAACUUUCAGGUAAUCAUUCAAAGUUCCAUGGAUUUAACCAUAUGCACUAAAUCAUAUAUACUUUGAUUUUAUGCAGGCAGUGCGGCAAGAAGUGGAAGUGGUGCUGAUGGAAGACAGGCUCAAGGAGAAAGAAACUUGAAUGCUACUGAACAGAGGGAAAUACAAAGGAUUAGCAUGAUUCAAAUAUCAAAAGAUGCAUGUGCUCAAGUGAAUGAGCCUGCAGGUCCAAGGUGCCAUCCUACAGAAGAGCAUCAUGAGGAGGAAGCUCGAGAUAGACCAGAAAUUAAUGGUCAUGAUUUUUCACAACGACAUCUGAGCAACUGGGUAGAUGCAAAUGAAGAUGAUGAUGAUGAUGCAGAUGAAAAUGAAUUGUGUGUUCAGCCAACGCCACCAUAUUAUGAAGAACAGUAGCACUGAGUGAUCUCUGUCACUAUGAUAGGCAGAUGCUUCUGCUUACUUCUGUU